CUCAGGAUGAACGCGGGCGGCGUGCUUAAUACAUGCAAGUCGAACGAUUUUCAAGUCGCCCGCAAGGGUGAUUUGAAAAGAGUGGCGAACGGGUGAGUAACGCGUGGAUAAUCUACCUAAAAGACUGGGAUAACGUUUCGAAAGGAACGCUAAUACCGGAUAUGCUCGUAGUGGCGCAUGCCACAGCGAGGAAAGGACGCCUCUGUUUACAAGCUACCACUUUUAGAGGAUUCCGCGGUCCAUUAGCUAGUUGGCGGGGUAACGGCCCACCAAGGCUACGAUGGAUAGCCGGCUUGAGAGGGUGACCGGCCACACUGGAACUGAGACACGGUCCAGACUCCUACGGGAGGCAGCAGUAGGGAAUUUUGGGCAAUGGGCGAAAGCCUGACCCAGCGACGCCGCGUGAGUGAUGAAGGCCUUUGGGUCGUAAAGCUCUUUCGGGAGGGAAGAAGGUUUUUACGGUGAAAAUCGUAGAUUCUUGACGGUACCUCAAGAAGAAGCCCCGGCUAAUUACGUGCCAGCAGCCGCGGUAAUACGUAAGGGGCAAGCGUUAUCCGGAAUUAUUGGGCGUAAAGGGCGUGUAGGCGGUGGUGUGUGUCGAUUGUGAAAAACCAGGGCUCAACUCUGGGCUGGCAAUCGAAACUACAUCACUAGAGUGCUGGAGAGGAAGACGGAAUCCCUAGUGUAGCGGUGAAAUGCUUAGAUAUUAGGGGGAACACCCGUGGCGAAGGCGGUCUUCUGGACAGCAACUGACGCUGAGGCGCGAAAGUCAGGGGAGCAAACAGGAUUAGAUACCCUGGUAGUCCUGACUGUAAACGGUCGGAACUAGGUGUAGGAGGCGUCAACCCCUUCUGUGCCGCAGCUAACGCAUUAAGUUCCACGCCUGGGAAGUACGAUCGCAAGAUUGAAACUCAAAGGAAUUGACGGGGGCCCGCACAAGCGGUGGAGCAUGUGGUUUAAUUCGAUCAAACCGAAGAACCUUACCAGGGCUUGACAUGCUUUCGACAGACGAAGAAACUCGUUCUUCCCUUCGGGGACGAUUGCACAGGUGCUGCAUGGCUGUCGUCAGCUCGUGCCGUGAGGUGUUGGGUUAAGUCCCGCAACGAGCGCAACCCUUGUCGUCAGUUACCAGCGGGUUAUGCCGGGAACUCUGACGAGACCGCCGGUGUUAAACCGGAGGAAGGUGGGGAUGACGUCAAGUCAUCAUGGCCUUUAUCUCCUGGGCUACACACGUGCUACAAUGGGUGAAACAACGGGUAGCAAUACCGCGAGGUGGAGCGAAUCCCUUAAAUACACUCCCAGUUCGGAUUGCAGGCUGCAACUCGCCUGCAUGAAGCUGGAAUCGCUAGUAAUCGUGAAUCAGCUAUGUCGCGGUGAAUACGUUCUCGGGCCUUGUACACACCGCCCGUCACACCACCCGAGUGAGGUGCACACGAAAUCGCCGGCCUAACCCGCAAGGGGGGGAGGCGCCUAAUGUGUGCCUGAUAAGGGGGGUGAAGUCGUAACAAGGUA
rnacentral:rRNA from 1 species